rnacentral:rRNA from 1 species
CCUACGGGCGGCAGCAGUGGGGAAUAUUGCACAAUGGGGGAAACCCUGAUGCAGCGACGCCGCGUGAGUGAAGAAGUAUUUCGGUAUGUAAAGCUCUAUCAGCAGGGAAGAAAAGGACGGUACCGGAUUAAGAAGCCCCGGCUAACGACGUGCCAGCAGCCGCGGUAAUACGUAGGGGGCAAGCGUUAUCCGGAUUUACUGGGUGGAAAGGGAGCGUAGACGGCAGCCCCAGUCGGGAGGGAAAUGCCGGGGCUUACCCCCGGAACUGCUUUGGAAACUGUGCAGCUCGAGUGCAGGAGAGGUAAGUGGACUUCCUAGUGUCGCGGUGACAUGCGUCGAUAUUAGG